rnacentral:misc_RNA from 1 species
UAAAGUGCGAUAUGUAGUGCGAUUUGCAUGAAUCUGUGAGUCAUCUAAUCUUUGAACGCAACUUGCGCCUCUCUGAGGCAUGUCUGUUUGAGUGCCGCAUACUCUCUGCAGCAAUGCGACAUGACUGUUGUCUCCGGACUCGGUCUAAACAAAGCCAGAUAGUGGCCUUGUGGGCUGUUAGGGUGCUAAGCAUUCUCUAACUGUCCCUCUGGGCCAUAAAAUCUAUCUCUACUUUGGCCUCAAAUCAGGCAAGACUACCCGCUGAACUUAA